rnacentral:RNase_P_RNA from 1 species
AGUUGACUAGGCAGUCGCUGUCACUUUUUCUGUGUGGAUCAUUCGUGUUCCAUGCGGUACUUGGCAGAGGAAAGUCCGGGCUCCAAAGGGUAGAGUGCCAGGUAACACCUGGGGGGCGUGAGCCUACGGAAAGUGCCGCAGAGAGCAGACCGCCGAUGCGUCGUUUUAGCGAAGCAGGUAAGGGUGAAAGGGUGCGGUAAGAGCGCACCGCGCUGCUGGUAACAGCAGUGGCAGGGUAAACCCCACUCGGAGCAAGACCAAAUAGGUUUCCAUUGGCGUGACCCGCGCUGGAAACGGGUAGGUCGCAAGAGGUAGGUGGUGACACAUGCCCCAGAUGAAUGACUGUCCACGACAGAACCCGGCUUAUCGGUCGACUCAU